GACGAACGCUGGCGGCGUGCUUAACACAUGCAAGUCGAACGAUGAACCCGGAGCUUGCUCCGGCGGAUUAGUGGCGAACGGGUGAGUAACACGUGAGUAACCCGCCCUUGACUCUGGGAUAACUGCUAGAAAUGGUAGCUAAUACCGGAUACGACCCUCGGCGGCAUCGCCAGGGGGUGGAAAGAAUUUCGGUCAAGGAUGGACUCGCGGCCUAUCAGCUAGUUGGUGAGGUAACGGCUCACCAAGGCGACGACGGGUAGCCGGCCUGAGAGGGUGACCGGCCACACUGGGACUGAGACACGGCCCAGACUCCUACGGGAGGCAGCAGUGGGGAACAUUGCACAAUGGGCGAAAGCCUGACGCAGCAACGCCGCGUGAGGGAAGAAGGCCUUCGGGUUGUAAACCUCUUCCAGUAGGGACGAAGCUUCCGGGGUUAAUAGCCCACGGGGUGACGGUACCUACAGAAGAAGCCCCGGCUA
rnacentral:rRNA from 1 species